GGUGUCAUAAGAUGGAGUCAGUCUUGUAUGUCGAGUCGGUUAAGUCUAUGGUCGGAUGUGUGUGGCAAUGAGUGAGGUCAUUGUAUUGGUUGAUCGCUAGGUUGUUAGAAACGUCGAGAAUUGUGAAUGCUUGGAAAUGAUGAUGAUAUGAAAUGUUUAGUUGCAUUAACUGAUUGUAGUGGCUAGUCAGUCCUAGUUCCCGCAU
rnacentral:lncRNA from 1 species